rnacentral:misc_RNA from 2 species
ACACCCUCAAGCCUCGCUUGGUGUUGGGCGUCUGUCCCGCUCUCGUAGCGCGGACUCGCCUCAAAGUCAUUGGCGGCGGUCGUGCCGGCCCCUCGCGCAGCACAUUUGCGCUUCUCGGAGGCCUGGCGGAUCAGCAUCCAGCAAGCUAUUUCAUG